AAGUCAUAACAAUGGGUAAUAUUUUAAUAUAAUGAAAAAUUAUCAUUAACUUUUCUCGACAGGAAGGAAAUGAAUUUUCCUCAUUGUACACAUUCCGAGAAAAAUGAGGCUAAGACUAUUUCAAAGGAUGUUCUACCUAAUUCGAAUGGGCUUUAAGUGCCAUCUUCACAAUAGCGCCAGAGUCUGGUGUCAGCAAACUGAACAAAUAGAGCUACAGGGAGCGAAUGGGGCUGGGUGCCUCUCCAAAACAUAUGCAGAUGAACUUGAGAUUUCAGAGGACGGUUAAUCCUACACAGCAGUCAAGUGCCUUCCCAGGGGUAUGUCUCAGAUCUCAGGUAAAUCGCUAUCUUUAUCGCAUUCCUUUCCCCCUGACUCGGAGCGAAUCUCCCAUUAAGCCUUCAUAAGCCCUUUUCAACUUAAAAUGGGACAUAGUAAUAUUAAAAAUGUGCAUUUAUUAAAUACUCUAUGAAAGUCACAAAAAUCUUCAAAAUAUUUUCCUUAGACACCUGGGACAGGAGCUGAGCUUCAGAAGCCAGGAUUCUCAAAAGUUUCCUUUGCUACAAUUUCAAUUACAGCCCCUCCCACCCCUCAGAGAGUCUGCCUGUUCCACUCUCUAGUCACCUCCCCCUCCCCCCACCCCAGUCACUAUAUUCUUUUGUUAUCAAAAGUAUAAACAGUUGUAUAAUAAGACACACAUUCCAGGGCUCCCUUCCAAACACUGGCUGCCACGUCAAACCAAAGGGGACGAGCAAUCAGACUCACCUCAAACGCCAGUUAAGAAAGCCGGCCUUACUUAAGCAAUCAAGGGCAAGUGAUCAGCCAACUCUGCUUUCUUUCCUUUCUCUUGGAUCAUUUAUAGACCUUGUGGCCGUGGCCACCACAUUGAGAAGCCCUUGGUCUCUACUUGGACUCACUAUAGCAGUCCCCAAC
rnacentral:lncRNA from 1 species